UAACCCAUUAAAAAAAUUUACUCCCAGGAACAGUUAAUAUUUGACGUUUAAUUGCUUUUCCUUGUUGGAGAGGAAAAUCUGUUUCUUUCCUUCCUUUCUUGAUUGACUUUUCAAAAAUCACCUUGUGAGCUAUAAAAAUGGAGAGGAGUAAUUGAUUUUCAAAAACUCAAGUGCACGCACCUGUAUUUGCAUAUGCGUCGUGCGUGCGUGUGUGUGUGUGUGUGUGUGUGUGUGGACAUAACAACCUCUGUGUACCAGGAACAGGGACUUCCCCCACAAUAACUGUGCAAGGCGGGUGUUACUAUUUCCCGUUAACGUGGAGGCAGCGGAGGCUCAGACCGGUUCACUGCUCGCAUUGGGUCACACGGGUAGUAAGCGAUAGGAGGCUGAGUCUUUAUUUCUCUAACCCUGGGGCCUGCCUGUAGGGGGGUUUCAUACCCAGCAGUGCAGGCAUCCAUGGAACCAGGCAAAAAGGCCAUGCCGACGAUCCCCAUCAUUGGAGUAACUAGUCUUCACUAGCCUGUUUAACUAACGCCAGGUUCUGGAAUUUAGCAAAGGGUGCCACACGCCAUCCAGAAGCGUCGAGAGAGUCCAGCUGUGACAUGUGCCCUACGCCAUUGUGACGGAGCCAGGAGAAGUGGCUGAAAGCUUAUAAGAGAUAGCAACCCAGGAGAGAUUUCUCCUUGGAGAGUUUUAUGGGGAUGAGCGGGGGUCAGAUGUCCCCUCAUUAGAAAAAUGCCCACGCAGGCUUCAGAUGAAGUUUUGGGGCUCCUCAGGACUGGUUUCAAGAGGAAGAAGGGGGUCACCAGGACGUUGGUGUGGAAAGGGUGAGGAGAAGCCUCUUUCUGGUUGCCUUGCGUUAGAAAAUUUCCAUUUCGACCUUGUCAAGCCCUCACCUUUCACGUGUGCUAAACUCACUAGCGAAGGCCAAAGGGUUCUCUUUCUCUCUUGUUUUCUUCCCACAAAACCAGGUAUUAUUUAGGUCUCUUGCAAAGCUGCACAGACCAACUGUCCCUCCUCAGAUUAUGCCUUCCAGAGCUCAGGCGAUAUGUCUCCUCGGGUUACACCUUCCAUGUUUUGUGGUCAGAUGUGGGCUGUGUCAUUGUGACUCCAACUUGCAAAGAAAAUAUUUCUAUAUGGGCCUCACCAGUCUCGUUUCCUCUGGGAUUGCUUCUGAGCAGGCUGUCUUCAUGCCAGGGGCGGGCAGUCGAAUCGCUGGCCUUCACGGGACCACUGGACAUCUGGCAGAAAACAGGAAGCCGUGACUUCGCUUAGCCGGAAAACUACGAGGUGUAUAAAGAGGACGGUUCACUGGAUUAUCUGAGGUCGGACUGCUGGGGUGAGAAUUGAACCCCAUCCUGGUUGACGACAGAGUUUACACUCUUAUCUUAUCAUUCCUCAUGACGUGUGGAUAAUUUUAUUUUUUAAUGCUUAUUGAUUUAUCUUGAGAGAAAAAGAGAGAGCACGCACCCAUGUGUACGCGGAUAAGGAGCGGAGAGAGAGAAUCCCAAGCAGCCUCCCACCGUCAGCACAGAGCCCUCUGUGGGGCUCGAUCCCACGAACCAUGAAAUCAUGACCUGAGCUGAAAUCAAAAGUCGGGACGCUUAAUCGACUGAGCCACCCACGCAUCCUUUAUGUGGAUAAUUUUAAGUAAAGAACAAAUAUUAGCCACCCAAGCCCCCCCCCCCCCACCAAGAGACCCUGGAAAGAAGCCCCCAAACUCCAAACCCCAAACAAGCCAGCACCAACACACACAAAUCUGACAAACUUUGCUCUUCUGGUAAUCACACUGAAAAGUACAUAGCAAAGCUUAGACCAAGAGAACGUGCCAAAGUUGAAAAAGCUCAUCGGCGACCAGCCAAUAACAUGCCAGAAUGUUCUUUGUCCCCCGACGUGGUGGGGGGUGUUGUUUCGCUGGUGCUCCAGACACCCCUACGGUUUCUUCCGAGCCUCGUCUACACCUGCGACACUAAGGUUUGUGAAGUCAGUCGAGUCUCAUGAAGAAUUUAGUUGCACUGUGUUGCCGUGAACGCUUGGAUUUGGACGCAAGGCUCACGACUGCCUUCUGGAUUUUCCAUGGUAGGGUGAAAAAAAAAAUGCACGACACACAUCACCAAGAAUCCAUGUCUGUGCCUGGCAGUGUAAUCGAGAAAAGCUUUGGAAUGUGAGUGGAUGGCAUUAUGAAUAGCUUUCCUUAGGGCACCUGCAGAAAGGCACUUCCAUUAGACACACCUUUGCCAAGCGCGUGUGCGUAAGGCACAGUGUUAGACGGAUGUGACAAAUGGGUGGGUGAUGCCUUUGUAGAAGAUUCUCCCAGGACUCUGAUGGGCUGAGGUUUAGAGAUGCCCAUACAGCCUCUGGGCGCUAAUAAGAUUACAGCCAGGGCCCGAUAUCAGCCCAUGAAAUAUUUUCAUCAUCAGGAUGAAGAAAAUUAUUUUGCACCGUUUCUGUUGUUCGGAAGUGGGAACAUUUUCGGGUGUGAAUCCCCCAAAGGACUUUCUGCGGACUCCCUACCUCUUAUCCGGGAUUGUGCAGUAUGGAGUCAGAAACGCCAUGGGAAGAAGUCGUUGGGCUGCCUUCUCCAGGAGCUUUCCCUGGGCGGUCGUCUCUGCCCAUGUUACGGAAGACGGCAAAAAUCCGAGCCAUCAUGCAUCUGGCCAAUUAUGCAAUGCUCCGUCGCGAGGGGAAAUUCCUUCCUCACCCCAGCUGGUGAACAGUUAUGCCCUGGAGCCCAGGACGGCCAUGCCUUGUAACUUUUUAACCUAGUUAGUGUAACUGCCAAUAUUAUUUCUAUUCAUAUAAAUGUCUAAUCCUUUCUUGAAUCUUGCUAGACUAUUUGCCUCAAUAAUACCCUGCGGCAGUGAAUUCCACAGGUAGAUUAUAUGCUGUUUUAAGAAGUAUUUCCGUUUUUUUUCAUUUUAAAUUUGUUACCUUUUAACGUCACAGGAUGGCCCUUGUUCUUGCAUGAAGGGGCCCGGGGUCCAGGCGUUUCAAGUUCUGCUUUAAUUUUUCCAAGCGCUUUGCCAUCAUUAGAACUCUGUCUUCGUCAGGUAUUUUCUGUUUUGGUGUAUCCGAUCUUGAUUAAAUGAGAUGAUUGAUGUGAA